rnacentral:lncRNA from 1 species
CGUGGUUAGGUUUGGAAGGCAGAGUGAGGGAGAGGUGUCUUCCUGCUCUACAGGCUGCUGAUAAGGUUAAGGAGACAUGUUGGACAGUUGGACUGAUUGCAGCCUUUCAACAGUGGGUCUUUAGCUUUGUGAGUAAUGGGAUGCAGUAGUGAUUGUGGUAAUGCCUGGAUGACAACCUCAAUAGACUGUUCUCAAAUCCAGUGGUUCUGGUGUCAUCCUUGACACAUUCCUCCAGCCCUCCCAAAGAUUCCUUGUAUCAAAUCCAUUUGUGAUCAGAAUGCUUAGUGGU